rnacentral:rRNA from 1 species
UACGUAGGGGGCAAGCGUUGUCCGGAUUUAUUGGGCGUAAAGAGCGUGUAGGCGGCCAUGCAGGUCAGCUGUGAAAACUCGAGGCUCAACCUCGAGACGUCGGUUGAAACCGUAUGGCUAGAGUCCGGAAGAGGAGAGUGGAAUUCCCGGUGUAGCGGUGAAAUGCGCAGAUAUCGGGAAGAACACCUAUGGCGAAGGCAGCUCUCUGGGACGGUACUGACGCUGAGACGCGAAAGCCAGGGGAGCGAACGGG